AGAGUUUGAUCCUGGCUCAGAAUCAACGCUGGCGGCGUGCCUAACACAUGCAAGUCGAACGAGAAAGGGUUCUUCGGAACCUGAGUAAAGUGGCGAACGGGUGAGUAACGCGUGGGUGAUCUGCCCUUUGGAGGGGGAUAACUCGGGGAAACCCGGGCUAAUACCGCAUAAGCUUGGAGCUGUAAGCGGCUUCAAGGAAAGUCUUCGGAUACCGAAGGAGGAGCCCGCGUCCGAUUAGCUAGUUGGUGAGGUAAGAGCUCACCAAGGCCACGAUCGGUAGCCGGUCUGAGAGGACGGACGGCCACACUGGGACUGAGACACGGCCCAGACUCCUACGGGAGGCAGCAGUGGGGAAUUUUGGGCAAUGGGCGAAAGCCUGACCCAGCAACGCCGCGUGGAGGACGAAGAUCUUCGGAUCGUAAACUCCUGUCUAGAGGGAAGAAGAAAGUGACGGUACCUCUGGAGGAAGCCCCGGCUAACUCCGUGCCAGCAGCCGCGGUAAUACGGGGGGGGCGAGCGUUGUUCGGAAUUACUGGGCGUAAAGGGCGCGUAGGCGGUUUCGGAAGUCAUGGGUGAAAGCCCUCGGCUCAACCGAGGAAUUGCCUGUGAAACCACGGAACUGGAGUGCUGGAGAGGAGAGUGGAAUUCCCAGUGUAGCGGUGAAAUGCGUAGAUAUUGGGAGGAACACCGGUGGCGAAGGCGGCUCUCUGGACAGACACUGACGCUGAGGCGCGAAAGCCAGGGGAGCGAACGGGAUUAGAUACCCCGGUAGUCCUGGCUGUAAACGAUGAACACUUGGUGUGGGAGGUAGAUGAAGUCCUUCCGUGCCGGAGAGAACUCAUUAAGUGUUCCGCCUGGGGAGUACGGCCGCAAGGCUGAAACUCAAAGGAAUUGACGGGGGCCCGCACAAGCGGUGGAGCAUGUGGUUUAAUUCGACGCAACGCGAAGAACCUUACCGGGGUUUGAACUGUAUCUGUCACUUUGCAGAGAUGUAAAGUUUCCUUCGGGAACGGAUACAGAGGUGCUGCAUGGCUGUCGUCAGCUCGUGUCGUGAGAUGUUGGGUUAAGUCCCGCAACGAGCGCAACCCUUGUCUGUAGUUGCCAUCAGGUGAAGCUGGGCACUCUACGGAGACUGUCGGCGAAAAGCCGGAGGAAGGUGGGGAUGACGUCAAGUCCUCAUGGCCUUUAUGUCCCGGGCUACACACGUGCUACAAUGGGCGGCACAGAGGGCAGCGAACUCGUGAGAGUCAGCGAAUCCCAGAAAACCGCUCUCAGUUCGGAUUGCAGUCUGCAACUCGACUGCAUGAAGGUGGAAUCGCUAGUAAUUGCGGAUCAGAACGCCGCAGUGAAUACGUUCCCGGGCCUUGUACACACCGCCCGUCACAUCACGAAAGUGGGCUGUACUAGAAGCCGCCGGCCUAACCCUUCGGGGAGGGAGGCGUCGACGGUAUGGCUCAUGAUUGGGGUGAAGUCGUAACAAGGUAACC
rnacentral:rRNA from 1 species